AGGCGCGUAGCUCAGUUGGCAGAGCAUCUGACUUUUAAUCAGAGGGUCGCGGGUUCGAGCCCCGCCGCGCCUACCA
rnacentral:tRNA from 1 species